rnacentral:rRNA from 1 species
GGAAUAUUGGACAAUGGGGGAAACCCUGAUCCAGCAACGCCGCGUGGAGGAUGAAGGCCUUCGGGUUGUAAACUCCUGUCAGGUGGAGCGAAAAGCACCGGCUAAUAACCGAUGUCUAUGACGGUACCCCCCGCGGAAGCCCCGGCUAACUCCGUGCCAGCAGCCGCGGUAAUACGGAGGGGGCAAGCGUUAGUCGGAAUUAUUGGGCGUAAGGGGCGCGUAGGCGGCCGUGCAAGUCAGGGGUGAAAUCCCUCGGCUCAACCGAGGAACUGCCUCUGAAACUGCAUGGCUUGAGACCGGGAGAGGGUGGUGGAAUUCCUAGUGUAGCGGUGAAAUGCGUAGAUAUUAGGAGGAACACCAGUGGCGAAGGCGACCACCUGGACCGGAUCUGACGCUGAGGCGCGAAAGUGUGGGGAGCA